GAGCCACCCAGGCGCCCCUUGAAAUUCGCUUUGACAUACGAGUGCUUUGGAAGACAAGCAUGUUUCCGGAAUGAACUAUGCUAGCAAACCAAGGUU